rnacentral:rRNA from 1 species
UACAGAGGGGGCAAGCGUUAUUCGGAAUUAUUGGGCGUAAAGGGCGCGUAGGCGGCCUCUUAAGUCGAACGUGAAAUCCCCGGGCUCAACCCGGGAACUGCGUCCGAUACUGGGGGGCUUGAAUCCGGGAGAGGGAUGUGGAAUUCCAGGUGUAGCGGUGAAAUGCGUAGAUAUCGGGAGGAACACCAGUGGCGAAGGCGAGUCUCUGGGAUGAUGCUGACGCUGAUGCGCGAAAGCCAGGGGAGCAAACGGG